rnacentral:rRNA from 1 species
UGCAAGUCGAACGGUGAAGCAGAGCUUGCUCUGCGGAUCAGUGGCGAACGGGUGAGUAACACGUGAGCAAUCUGCCCUUGACUCUGGGAUAAGCGCUGGAAACGGCGUCUAAUACUGGAUACGAGCUGCGAAGGCAUCUUCAGCAGCUGGAAAGAACUUCGGUCAAGGAUGAGCUCGCGGCCUAUCAGCUUGUUGGUGAGGUAAUGGCUCACCAAGGCGUCGACGGGUAGCCGGCCUGAGAGGGUGACCGGCCACACUGGGACUGAGACACGGCCCAGACUCCUACGGGAGGCAGCAGUGGGGAAUAUUGCACAAUGGGCGCAAGCCUGAUGCAGCAACGCCGCGUGAGGGACGACGGCCUUCGGGUUGUAAACCUCUUUUAGCAGGGAAGAAGCGAAAGUGACGGUACCUGCAGAAAAAGCACCGGCUAACUACGUGCCAGCAGCCGCGGUAAUACGUAGGGUGCAAGCGUUAUCCGGAAUUAUUGGGCGUAAAGAGCUCGUAGGCGGUUUGUCGCGUCUGCUGUGAAAUCUGGGGGCUCAACCCCCAGCCUGCAGUGGGUACGGGCAGACUAGAGUGCGGUAGGGGAGAUUGGAAUUCCUGGUGUAGCGGUGGAAUGCGCAGAUAUCAGGAGGAACACCGAUGGCGAAGGCAGAUCUCUGGGCCGUAACUGACGCUGAGGAGCGAAAGGGUGGGGAGCAAACAGGCUUAGAUACCCUGGUAGUCCACCCCGUAAACGUUGGGAACUAGUUGUGGGGUCCAUUCCACGGAUUCCGUGACGCAGCUAACGCAUUAAGUUCCCCGCCUGGGGAGUACGGCCGCAAGGCUAAAACUCAAAGGAAUUGACGGGGACCCGCACAAGCGGCGGAGCAUGCGGAUUAAUUCGAUGCAACGCGAAGAACCUUACCAAGGCUUGACAUAUACGAGAACACCGUGGAAACACGGGACUCUUUGGACACUCGUAAACAGGUGGUGCAUGGUUGUCGUCAGCUCGUGUCGUGAGAUGUUGGGUUAAGUCCCGCAACGAGCGCAACCCUCGUUCUAUGUUGCCAGCACGUAAUGG